AAGAUCAAUGGAGUAAUAUAAUUAGGAAUCCAAGGAUGGCAAGUGCAGUUAGUAUUCCCACAAUUGAUCUCUCAACUUUCUUGUUAGAUAAAGUGGAAGAGAGGAAGAAGAAGGCCACAGAAAUAAUGAAACAAGCCUGCUCAGAGUAUGGCUUAUUUCAAAUCGUAAACCAUAAAUGUGAGAAACCAAGCUAUGGAGCAGUGCAAAGAAUUUUUUCAUCUCUCAGAUGAGGAUAAACUCAAAUUUUACACUAAUCAAUCACAUUUUAUUCCUUACGGUUACAGCAAACACAAAGCUGAUAAGAAUGAAUAUUUAUGUAUGUCCCCCCUGGAACCACUGCUAACGUUUUUCCUACUAAUCCACCAAAUAUCCAGUAAUUUAGCUUUAUUUUCAUUAAUAUACUAAUCUAUCGAUUGAUCUGUUCUCACAAAAAAGAGUUCAAUUGCUUUACAGGCUAUCUAUGGAGAAUUUGUUUAAUAAAUUUUUAGAGACAUGCCAGCUCUUGGAGGGCAUUCUAAAUGAUUGCCUUGGUCUUCCUCCUAACUUGCUCAAAGAUUACAACGAUGAUAGAUGACCCCACUGUUUUUACUGUCAUAUAUCAGGAUGACACUGGAGGUCUCGACACUCUAAUUGAUGGAGAAUGGAUAUAUACCUGUAGAUCCACUUGAGGGUGCCUUGGUCUUCCACAUAUCUGACGUUCUUCAGGUGCUAACAAAUGACAAAUUUGUGAGCCCCUUCCACCAAGUGGUGAGGCCUAAAGGCAAAAGCCGCUACGUUUUUGUGUUUUUCUACAAUGUGAGUGGAGAAAAAUGGGUGCAACCAUUGCCACAACUUACUAAAGACAUUGGGGAACUCCCAAAAUAUAGGAGAUACCAAUUCAAAGAUUACUUUGGUGUGAGAGUGAAAGAAAAAUUGAAUCCUCCAACCAGGGACCAAGACAAGACAACAUUACUCACCUUUGCCUCUUCCACCUGGUCACAAAUUAAACCUUCUUUUAAUUUGUUUGAUUAUGUAUUUGUAUUUGCAAGCUACUAUAGUUGUGUCAAUAAUCAUGACACCAAAAGGGACACCCCUCUAUGGGUUUUGAGCUGAGUCUCUGAAAUUAAUAUGAGUGAAUAAGUACAUAAGUCAUGGUCAACUUGCUUGUUGAUCAUGAGAACAAUUGUGGUUGUGUCAAUAAUCACGAAACACUGUAUUUUUUAGUAUAUAUUGCACAUUGUGAAUGAAAAAUUGGACUAUU